rnacentral:lncRNA from 1 species
GUGCAAAAUCGGGCUCAGUUUACCAAAAACAUCGACACCAAAACUUGAGACAACUCCAACACCACCCUAUGCCGCCACCGGUCCGGUUGCUAUCAAUUGGGAAGGAGAAGGCCAAUAAUAUACCCACAAUAUGUUAGCCACAAAGGUCACAGUGAGAGGGGGAGGAAGAGGCCGACAGGGAGAGGCUCACAAAGAGGGGAUUAUUUCACUCUAAUGGAGGCCGAGAGAAUGAGGGGAUUAUAUGCCAAGCAUAUUGUCCAAAAUAGGUAGGUUAGAAUUAGGGUUAAGUGUUGGAUCAACAAACUAGGCUCAACUCAAAUAAUUGGGCCUCAAUAAUAAUAAAAUAGCCUUCCAAGGAAUGGUGCGGGAACCGUGAGCAACACUAUAAAAUAGGUUACUUCGAACGGUCCAUAACAAAAUGGAUUGUGUUGUCUCGUUAAUUGUGUCGAUGUACUAAUCAAUCAUUAGGCCGAGG